CCUACGGGUGGCUGCAGUGGGGAAUAUUGGACAAUGGGCGAAAGCCUGAUCCAGCCAUGCCGCGUGUGUGAAGAAGGCCUUCGGGUUGUAAAGCACUUUCAGUGGGGAAGAAAGCCUUGGGGCUAAUACCCUCGAGGAAGGACAUCACCCACAGAAGAAGCACCGGCUAACUCCGUGCCAGCAGCCGCGGUAAUACGGAGGGUGCGAGCGUUAAUCGGAAUUACUGGGCGUAAAGCGCGCGUAGGCGGUCUGUUAAGCCGGUUGUGAAAGCCCCGGGCUCAACCUGGGAGCGGCAUCCGGAACUGUCAGGCUAGAGUGCAGGAGAGGAAGGUAGAAUUCCCGGUGUAGCGGUGAAAUGCGUAGAGAUCGGGAGGAAUACCAGUGGCGAAGGCGGCCUUCUGGACUGACACUGACGCUGAGGUGCGAAAGCGUGGGUAGCAAACAGGAUUAGAUACCCUAGUAGUC
rnacentral:rRNA from 1 species